rnacentral:rRNA from 1 species
GACGAACGCUGGCGGCGUGCUUAACACAUGCAAGUCGAACGGACAGACAGAGAGCUUGCUCUCUUGAAGUUAGUGGCGAACGGGUGAGUAACGCGUAAUCAACCUGCCCUUCAGAGGGGGAUAACAACGGGAAACCGUUGCUAAUACCGCGUACGAUUCAUGAACGGCAUCGUUUAUGAAUGAAAGGUGGCCUCUAUGUAUAAGCUAUCGCUGAAGGAGGGGAUUGCGUCUGAUUAGCUAGUUGGAGGGGUAACGGCCCACCAAGGCAAUGAUCAGUAGCCGGUAUGAGAGGAGGAACGGCGACAUUGGGACUGAGACACGGCCCAAACUCCUACGGGAGGCAGCAGUGGGGAAUCUUCCGCAAUGGACGAAAGUCUGACGGAGCAACGCCGCGUGAGUGAUGAAGGUCUUCGGAUUGUAAAGCUCUGUUAAUCGGGACGAAAGAGUUCUGCGUGAAUAAUGCAGAAAAGUGACGGUACCGGAAUAGAAAGCCACGGCUAACUACGUGCCAGCCGCCGCCGUAA